GUGUUACAGCAUGCCCAUGUUGUUGUAAAAGAACUCACAUGUUGGUGUAACAGAACGCACGUAUUGUUGUAAAAGAACGCACAUGUUGGUGUCAAAGAACGCACAUGUUGGUGUCAAAGAACGCACAUGUUGUUGUAAAAGAACGCACAUGUUGGUGUCACAUAACGCACAUAUUGUUGUAACAGAACAAAUAUGUUUCGUAUAUUCUGU
rnacentral:lncRNA from 1 species